UUUAGGUUAUAAACUGUGAUUGUUAUGAUAUGGUUAUUAACUAGUAAUAAGGAUUUGGAAAUCCAAAUAAAAGUAGGAGAUAUUUUACAAGUGUGUUACAUUAGUAUAAUAUUAUUGUUAGUCACUUAGACAAUAGCUCUCUGUAAUUUUUAUUUUUUGGACCUUGGGAGGGUUCAAGGGAGUUGAGUGGAGUGUGGUACUAUUUUUUUUUUCACUUUAGUCGACAUGUUAAGUUUCAAAAUGUGUUGGGUUGGGUGGGGGAUUUUGUUAUUUGCUGUAUUAAUUUCACAGUUUUUCUAAUGGGGUUGUAAUAAAAACAUCGCAAUUAUUUUGUUUAUUUUUAAAAUUAUGAAUUGAACUUGUUAAUUUCUUACCUUUACUUCCCAUUUUUAUAAGUACUUUGAUUUUUGUACUUCCAGACCAGAGUUUCGGAUUUAAAGUAGUUGUUUAAAAUUUCAAAAGAAAGAAAGAAACCGUAGUUUUCACCCUAUUUUCUCUCAAGUUUCCUCUCCGCCUCCCUCUUCAAGCUUUCAAUGGUUUUUCUUUUGAUCGGUGUGUGGCGGCUCCUUCAGUGCCGGCGCCGGUCAAAAUCUCUUCUACCGCCUUCUGUUUGCUUUGUCGUUCAUCCGUGUGUGACUUUUUUUUGUUUUGGGAGAAGAUUCGCCUUUGCCAAAUCGUCUUUAGCUUUCAGAUUUAUGAUGGAUUUCUGUUUCAAAGUUCUGGAUCUGUGGAUUGACGUGUGGCUUAGCUACAAAGAUUUUUUACUCGAAUCUCGUUCUAGAUCUGUUUGUCCUGUUGUUGUUGCGGAUCUCCUUUUUUUUUGGAUUGGACUCUUUUUGCAGGUGUUAGACUGUCCUCUUGGAGUUUGUUUUGGCUUCCAUCUAGUCUACAUUUAUGCCGUUCAUGGCAUGUUCUUGUGUUUUGGAUUAGGUGGACCUCGCCCCUAGUUGUUUGUUCAGAUCUCGCGGAGAUCUGUUGUUGUUGCCGCUUCAUACCUAGGCUUUCUACUGUCGUCGUAGAUCAAGCCACUUCUAAGAGUGUUAGUAAGAAUCUUUAUUUGCCGGUUUAUGAAAGUUUGGUUGUUGGGUCCUUGAGGUGUUUCCUCAGAGUUCUAGGAGGAGGUGGUCUACAGUGGUUUAGUCGAGGGUAUUCCCACUAAGCAGCUGCCACAUAAGCUCUAUCAUAUAGUCUCUCUGUAUUUUUGUUAGUCUUGUUCUAGUGAUUUGGAAAGUUAGUUAUUUGUUUUAAGUUUGCAAUAUCGUUGGUUCUUGUAUGCUGCCCCGUUGUGGGUUCUAGUGUCCGGGGAUAUCUUUGUUUUUCUCCGGUUUAGCUGACCACGGAAAGAUCUGUUAUUUGUUGGUGUUGUGUUGAAUUUAUCUUUGUUUUUAAUAAAAUCCGUUGAAGGAAAAAAAAAAAAAAAAAAAAAAAAAAAAAAAAAAAAACCGACCGACCGCUGUAUCCAGCAGCAGCGUCUGCUUCUUCACCAGAUGUGGCUAUCUUCUCAGUCAAGAAUCAAGAACUCGGAAAACCUUAGACACAUGAAGCAUAAUGCUCUAGUAGCCAACGCCGCUUUGAUGCGUCAGCACGCCGGAACUCCCCUGAAACGUCCGUCUACCGGCACCGGAGUUUUCCUUCCCCGGCGAUACCCAGCAACAACCCCUUCCGAGCCCAUCAAGAAGCCAGCACCAGUAGUCAACACAGCGGCUAUGUUGCAGUCAAAAGUCAACUUUGAUGAGUUUAUCAAUGUUAAGUCAAGACAGAGUCAGUUCGAUUACGGUAAUGAUUCAAACUAGAAACUAUUUUAAGUGUAAGAACACAGUACUUGUGACUUAAUCUAACUUUUUUUAUUAUUUAUUUUAAUUUGAGCAGAGUGCAUGUUAGCAAGAAGUAGACUACUUGCUCGUCAGGGAAACUACAGAGCGGCUGGUUGUCUGAAUCAAGAGAGACGUCUUCCUCAGGACUGGAUGUACUGAAACGGUUUGUUUUGUCUCGGAAGGAGCGUUAGUUAGAAGCGGUUUGGUUUUAGGUUAUAAACUGUGAUUGUUAUGAUAUGGUUAUUAACUAGUAAUAAGGAUUUGGAAAUCCAAAUAAAAGUAGGAGAUAUUUUACAAGUGUGUUACAUUAGUAUAAUAUUAUUGUUAGUCACUUAGACAAUAGCUCUCUGUAAUUUUUAUUUUUUGGACCUUGGGAGGGUUCAAGGGAGUUGAGUGGAGUGUGGUACUAUUUUUUUUUUCACUUUAGUCGACAUGUUAAGUUUCAAAAUGUGUUGGGUUGGGUGGGGGAUUUUGUUAUUUGCUGUAUUAAUUUCACAGUUUUUCUAAUGGGGUU
rnacentral:lncRNA from 1 species